GACGAACGCUGGCGGCGUGCUUAACACAUGCAAGUCGAACGGAAAGGCCCUGCUUGUGGGGGGUGCUCGAGUGGCGAACGGGUGAGUAACACGUGAGUAACCUGCUGCUCACUUUGGGAUAACUUCAGGAAACUGGGGCUAAUACCGGAUAGGAGCUCCUGCUGCAUGGUGGGGGUUGGAAAGUUUCGGCGGGUGGGGAUGGACUGGCGGCUUAUCAGCUGGUUGGUGGGGUAGGGGCUUACCAAGGCUUUGACGGGUAGCCGGCCUGGGGGGGUGACCGGCAACAUUGGGACUGGGAUCCGGCCCGGCCUCCUCCGGGGGGCAGCAGUGGGGAUUAUUGCACAAUGGGCGGAAGCCUGAUGCAGCAACGCGGCGUGCGGGAUGACGGCCUUCGGGUUGUAACCCGCUUUCGCCUGUGACGAAGCGUGAGUGACGGUAAUGGGUAAAGAAGCACCGGCUAACUACGUG
rnacentral:rRNA from 1 species